rnacentral:rRNA from 1 species
AGGACGAACGCUGGCGGCGUGCUUAACACAUGCAAGUCGAACGGUAAGGCCCCUUCGGGGGUACACGAGUGGCGAACGGGUGAGUAACACGUGAGCAACCUGCCCUUGACAUUGGAAUAACAGUUGGAAACAGCUGCUAAUACCGGGUAUGACCUGUCACCGCAUGGUGGUGGGUGGAAAGCCUUGGCGGUCAGGGAUGGGCUCGCGGCCUAUCAGCUAGUUGGUGAGGUAAUGGCUCACCAAGGCUUCGACGGGUA